rnacentral:lncRNA from 1 species
GCUCAAGCUCUCGCCGUGGCCACCCAGUGAGGCCUCUUGCAGGGAGGUGGGAGGAAAAGAGGGGGCCUCUGAGGCCUUCUUGUCACCCUCCUGAAGCUGAAAGGUGCUGGCGAGAAACUGAAGAUUGACCAUGAGAAAGAAGGUGGAGAAACAGCUGCUGCCCGAGAGGCACAAGUAGCAGGCGGUCUGCAGGAUCCGGCCUUCCCAGGAGUGCAGGGGGCCACAUCUGGAGACCUGGCAGCAGCCGGCCUGUCUGGGGGCACCCGAAGUGUUGGUAAUGUGCAGGCUCCUGGCAAAGAGCAGAACCGUCCUGUACUGAAUCCAGGAAGGAGACCGCAGCCUCCAGUCCUGCCCCAAAGCCUUGGUUGGGACGGGACACAGCCUUGCUGCCCCUUUCCUGAGCUGGCCAAGUUUAAGGGGCAAAGGCCCCCACCCCCAUCUGAGUAAGCGGUGCUGCUUGCUCAACUCCAGGAAUAUGUUAAUUCAAGCUUCAAAUUGUAAUCACUUCUUUAUAAAAGUUUUGAAUUAAGCCAAUGCACAUACACUUUUCAUGUUAUACAAUUUCCUUGGUUUUGGGGCCCCUAAUGGGGAAACACCACUUAAACUAUGAACUCAGGCAAGAGACAUUUUCUGGAGCAAAGGAAUAAAUGAAUUGAGAUGUACUUCCCUCCAAGUAGGGCCAACACUAAAUACUAAAGCCUCCAAAAGACCACUCAACAUUCAAC